GACAGAGGAUGCAAGCGUUAUCCGGAAUGAUUGGGCGUAAAGCGUCUGUAGGUGGCUUUUCAAGUCCGCCGUCAAAUCCCAGGGCUCAACCCUGGACAGGCGGUGGAAACUACCAAGCUGGAGUACGGUAGGGGCAGAGGGAAUUUCCGGUGGAGCGGUGAAAUGCGUAGAUAUCGGGGAGGAACACCAGUGGCGAAGGCGGCUACCUGGCCCACUCUUGACGCUGAGGCGGCGAAAGCU
rnacentral:rRNA from 1 species